GACGAACGCCGGCGGCGUGCUUAACACAUGCAAGUCGAACGGAAAGGCCCUGCUUUUGUGGGGUGCUCGAGUGGCGAACGGGUGAGUAACACGUGAGUAACCUGCCCUUGACUUUGGGAUAACUUCAGGAAACUGGGGCUAAUACCGGAUAGGAGCUCCUGCUGCAUGGUGGGGGUUGGAAAGUUUCGGCGGUUGGGGAUGGACUCGCGGCUUAUCAGCUUGUUGGUGGGGUAGUGGCUUACCAAGGCUUUGACGGGUAGCCGGCCUGAGAGGGUGACCGGCCACAUUGGGACUGAGAUACGGCCCAGACUCCUACGGGAGGCAGCAGUGGGGAAUAUUGCACAAUGGGCGGAAGCCUGAUGCAGCAACGCCGCGUGCGGGAUGACGGCCUUCGUGUUGUAAACCGCUUUCGCCUGUGACGAAGCGUGAGUGACGGUAAUGGGUAAAGAAGCACCGGCUAGCUACGUG
rnacentral:rRNA from 1 species